GUAGGUGAACCUGCGGAAGGAUCAUUAAUGAAUAUUAGAGUGGCCUCAACAUCACUUCGACAUAUAUCCGCAUACUCAGCUGUAUUGUCACCGGGCAAAAGCACAAGAAUCUUGUGAAACGCCUUCCAAUCGGUUUUUGGAUGUGAAACGGUGACCUUACUGUCUGCUCGUGUGCGGAGGUUGUGUUGUCUUGAUGUCGGCGCUCGACCCUCAUUUCCAACUCUGUGCAUCUUAUUAUGUCCGUGCCGCAGUUAACUCUGCCACGGACUCACCUUACAAACACUAGUCAAAGAAUGUAUAUAAAUUUAAAACAAAUAAAACUUUCAACAACGGAUCUCUUGGCUCUC
rnacentral:misc_RNA from 1 species